rnacentral:rRNA from 1 species
UAUCUGGUUGAUCCUGCCAGUAGUCAUAUGCUUGUCUCAAAGAUUUAGCCAUGCAUGUCUCAGUAUAAGUUUUCACACAACGAAACUGCGAAUGGCUCAUUAAAACAGUUAUAGCCUACUUGAUAGUCAAUCGUUAUAUGGAUAACUGUGGCAAUUCUAGAGCUAAUACAUGCAUAAAGACCUGACUUCUCGGAAAGGUCGUAUUUAUUAGAUACAGAACCAAUCCCUUCGGGGUUUUUGGAUGAUUCAUAAUAAAUGAACGGAGCGCAUGACUUGUGUCGGCGCUGUUUCAUUCGAGUUUCUGACCUAUCAGCUUCCGACGGUAGGGUAUUGGCCUACCGUGGCAUUGACGGGUAACGGAGAAUUAGGGUUCGAUUCCGGAGAGGGAGCCUUAAAAACGGCUACCACAUCUAAGGAAGGCAGCAGGCGCGCAAAUUACCCAAUCCUGAUACAGGGAGGUAGUGACAAGAAAUAACACAGAGAGUGCUUAUCGCAUUUCUCUUUGGAAUGAGCAGAACUUAAAUCUCUUUUCGACUAUCAAUUUGGAGGGCAAGUCUGGGUGCCAGCAGCCGCGGUAAUUCCACUCCAAUAGCGUAUAUUAAAGUUGUUGCGGUUAAAAAGCUCGUAGUUUGGAUUUCUUGUCGAAGGACGGUCGG